rnacentral:rRNA from 1 species
AUUGAACGCUGGCGGCGUGCUUAACACAUGCAAGUCGAGCGGCAGCGGGCCCGCAAGGGUGCCGGCGAGCGGCGGACGGGUGAGCAAUACAUAGGAAUCUGCCUCAGAGCGGGGGAUAGCCAGGGGAAACCCUGAUUAAUACCGCAUGACGUCGAGACCAAAGUGGGGGAUCGUAAGACCUCACACUCUGAGAUGAGCCUAUGUCGGAUUAGCUAGUUGGCGGGGUAACGGCCCACCAAGGCGGCGAUCCGUAGCUGGUCUGAGAGGACGAUCAGCCACACCGGAACUGAGACACGGUCCGGACUCCUACGGGAGGCAGCAGUGGGGAAUAUUGGACAAUGGGCGAAAGCCUGAUCCAGCGACGCCGCGUGGGUGAAGAGGGCCUUCGGGUUGUAAAGCCCUUUAAGCCGGGACGAAAAAGCUACACCUAACACGUGUGGCCUUGACGGUACCGGAAGAAUAAGCACCGGCUAACUCUGUGCCAGCCGCCGCCGUAA